GACUCCGUGGCGCAACGGUAGCGCGUCUGACUCCAGAUCAGAAGGUUGCGUGUUCAAAUCCCAUCUGGUUCA
rnacentral:tRNA from 1 species